CCUGGGGGCUGGGGCAAGGCUGAGACCAGACUGUCAGCUUAGGGAGAUCCUGCUGCAAAGUAAAAAAACAGGGCUGGGGUGUAGCUCAGUGGUAGAGUGCCUCUCUUCCUAUGUCCCCAAAAAGGUCAGUUGUCACCUUGUACUUUUUCCUUCUGUCCUUUCCCCGUUGAAGAAACCGGUGCACUAAGCAAAGUUGAAGGCGCCGGGGGCUGUGGGGUAAAAUGAACGAGUGGAACGCUGCGGGCUGGUAAGCCGCCGUUCGCAGUCUAGUUCCGUGUAUGAUACGUAGCAGGCGAGCACAGCGGGCGAACAGGCACGCCGCUGUGUGUGCGCAGGGUGAGGAGGUCGCUCCGCCAAGCAGUGUCUCCCGGGCACGUGCUGAGACACGAAAGGGAGAACACAGCCCCAAAGAGCUGGCCCAGCUUGCCCUCUUACCCAAAGCCCAGGACAGGUCACAGUUUUAUUAGGGAGACAAACGUGAUGAAGUUUCACCUAACGGUGAGAUAAAUGCCCCGAGAGGCAUCUCCAAAGCGUUCAUGGGGACAUAAAGGAUCGGUGGGCUGACGGCAUCCGUGAGACCAGGCGAGUGUUUUGAGUCCCCAUGGAAGGGUCAUGGGGACAGCAUGGUUUUG
rnacentral:lncRNA from 1 species